ACGAACGCUGGCGGCGUGCUUAACACAUGCAAGUCGAACGGAAAGGCCCUGCUUUUGUGGGGUGCUCGAGUGGCGAAUGGGUGAGUAACACGUGAGUAACCUGCCCUUGACUUUGGGAUAACUUCAGGAAACUGGGGCUAAUACCGGAUAGGAGCUCCUGCUGCAUGGUGGGGGUUGGAAAGUUUCGGCGGUUGGGGAUGGACUCGCGGCUUAUCAGCUUGUUGGUGGGGUAGUGGCUUACCAAGGCUUUGACGGGUAGCCGGCCUGAGAGGGUGACCGGCCACAUUGGGACUGAGAUACGGCCCAGACUCCUACGGGAGGCAGCAGUGGGGAAUAUUGCACAAUGGGCGGAAGCCUGAUGCAGCAACGCCGCGUGCGGGAUGACGGCCUUCGGGUUGUAAACCGCUUUCGCCUGUGACGAAGCGUGAGUGACGGUAAUGGGUAAAGAAGCACCGGCUAACUACGUG
rnacentral:rRNA from 1 species